AUUAUUUUCAGCUGUCUACUAUUUAUUGCAUUCUACUAGUUAUGUGAAUAAAAGCGGAAGCUCACAACCCUCCCCCUGUGGCUUAGGAGGCUCUCAGCUGUGCCAAAUUGCCAUCACAUUCUGAGAUAUGCUGCAUCCUUCAUCUCUCCAAUCUCAAAGGGUUUUUUGGCAUCCAGAAUCACAAUGAUGACUACGUUUUGAAGUGCUUUAAAUUCUGUGUUUGUGUGGAGAAAGGGCUUAAUCAAUUUGUUUGGAAAUAGCUCAGAUUCCUCCCUCUACUCCAAGAGCUGAACUGUUGAUAUUCACAUGCACUUUCUCCCUUAGUUUUUUCAAAGGCAGUUUGUCCAAAUAAGCUGAGCAUUCUGAAGCUGCUAAAUAUCUAUCCUUCAGAGGGGUCUAAAUACAUCCUUCUAAUACUGAGCUGGAAAGUACAGCACAGACAACAUAAAUCAGGAAUGACCAAGCUGGUAAUAUAUUUGGGACUGCUAUGGCUGAGAAAGGCUAAGAGUUCUUAAUGUUCUAAGCUACAGUAGUGCUGCAAGGCUAUCCUAGCAUACUCAACUGAAUUAUCCAAUUCUCGAGUGCCUACAGUAUCUCAAUGUUAUUUUAUCAUCAUAAGAGAAAAAACAUCUUUUUCUACAUCAAACUAAACUAUAGAUUACAGAAUAAUUACUGACAGUAAAUAAUAAUAAUUCUGUAAAAGCAACCAUCACACUUCUACUUUCACACCAUGCAUAAAUCCUUCUUUAUCCAGAAUUUUUUCCAUCUAGAUCAGACACUAAAGACCACAAACCAGCAAUGUAGCCUGCAGAGACCUAGAUGACAUUAAUUAAAAGUCAUGUUUGGCUCAAGCAAGCCCUCACUAUUGUCUAAUAGAGUAAAUGAAUUAAUCCAGACUGGUUUUUGAAAGUCAUGACAUUAUGAAUAACUUCCACAUACACAGCUUAAAUGCAAAACGGUCUUGAAGCUUGAAUCCCAAAUCUCUGUUUGAAGUUGAAAGAACAGAAUCUUAAUUUCACAUCUACAGAUUCAUAAAAAUCAUAUUAUUCAAUAUUCACAAACUUUAAUUGGUGAGACUCUCAAAGCAGCCACUACAGAUACUACAAAACUUGCAAAUGUGCAUAUUUUAAAAGAACCUGAAUAGGAACUAAAAAAGAGUCUUCUUUAAAAGUAUGUUAACAGAUAUAUUAAAGGACUAAAAUGGGUAUUUUCAGACAAUGACAAAGAAUAUGUAAACGAAAACAAUAUGCAACAAAUGAAAAGAAAUAUUACUGCAUAGCAGGAUAUGUUUAACUUAGUUAUGCAAAACUGAACAGGCACUGAGAGGUGGGUUUUUUUGUUUGUUUUUAACAGUGAGUGAGUUGUAGAGUGACUCCUAGGCCUUUGAUCCAGUCAUGGUGGAAACCUACCCUGGCAGCUCAAUUUGCUCUGAUUCUCAUACUCUGCAGUCUGACAGAACAGCACUAUUAGCAGAGAGCUGAUCAGCAAGAUGUAUAAUGGGGAGAGGUCAGAAUCAAUAAGGACUUGCUUCUGACACUAGUGCUGAACACCACAGUUCAUGCAGCAAUACUUGUAGCUAAAAGUAUCUUCAGGUUUGCAGGCCAGCUGGUGUUUUAACACCAGUGACAGAUUAAGAAAGCACUUACUGCCAGAUGUAUCAUUUAUUUACAAGGAUUCCAAGUGGUAGACAGCAGCAAAGCAAUUUCUUUCCCAUGGAUUUUGGUGGAAUGUGAACAAUGUUAUGACAAAAUGCCUACUCUUAUAGAACUACACUUAGCGUUAAAAGGUCAAUUAUUUUUAUAAGUCCACAUGUUUAGUAAAAUCUAUUGUACCGGAUCAAAGCAAAUGCCCACUUAGUCCAGCAUUCUGAUUAUAAGAGAACAAAACUGGCUGUCCAGG
ensembl:lncRNA